CGUGGAGAACCUGCCCCCUCCCCCGGGAUAGCCGCCCGAAAGGACGGGUAAUACCGGAUACCCCGGGGUGCCGCAUGGCACCCCGGCUAAAGCCCCGACGGGAGGGGAUGGCUCCGCGGCCCAUCAGGUAGACGGCGGGGUGACGGCCCACCGUGCCGACAACGGGUAGCCGGGUUGAGAGACCGACCGGCCAGAUUGGGACUGAGACACGGCCCAGACUCCUACGGGAGGCAGCAGUGGGGAAUCUUGCGCAAUGGGGGGAACCCUGACGCAGCGACGCCGCGUGCGGGACGGAGGCCUUCGGGUCGUAAACCGCUUUCAGCAGGGAAGAGUCAAGACUGUACCUGCAGAAGAAGCCCCGGCUAACUACGUGCCAGCAGCCGCGGUAAUACGUAGGGGGCGAGCGUUAUCCGGAUUCAUUGGGCGUAAAGCGC
rnacentral:rRNA from 1 species